UGGGGAUGACGUCAAGUCAUCAUGGCCCUUACGGCCUGGGCUACACACGUGCUACAAUGGUCGGUACAAAGGGUUGCCAAGCCGCGAGGUGGAGCUAAUCCCAUAAAACCGAUCGUAGUCCGGAUCGCAGUCUGCAACUCGACUGCGUGAAGUCGGAAUCGCUACGUAAUCGUGAAAUACAGAAUGUCACGGUGAAUACGUUCCCGGGCCUU
rnacentral:rRNA from 1 species